rnacentral:tRNA from 1 species
GGAGAUGUGGCCGAGUGGUCUAAGGCGCCGUCUUAAGGAACAUUGGAUGUGUUCGGCGGUCUUCGGGCGUGGGUUCGAAUCCCACCGUCUUCA